AAACCGCUUAGGGGUUAAGCCGGAUGAACCUGAAUAUCUGAAUUGAGAAAUUCAAUGCUGUCUUAAUCAACAGCAUGCACUUUUCUCAUAGUAGGACAUUGCGAUCCAUUAGUAGUCUUUCUGAGACGGUUUAUCAAACGGCCUGCGUAGUCAGUUUAGCCUAUCUGCCAUAUUUAUAUGGUAUGGUUAAUGCUAUUGCGGUGACCUGGUAAACAGCUGAUGGAGCUUAUAAAUCAUGCCACCAUGCAAAUGAAUCACGGUUCAGGGGUAUUCAUAUCCUUGGAUGCAGCGAUCGCAUGUAUUUGAUUAGCAAUGCGAUAGAUUUGGGAUACCUUCCGGACCCGUCUUGAAACACGGACCAAGAAGUCUAACAUGUGUGUAAGUCAUUGGGUAUUUUGUUGAAACCUAAAGGCGUAAUUAAAAUAACUAUUAUGGGAUUACAAGCAAUCUAUAUGAUUGUUUCUCCAUCCCGGGGCGUUCUAUAUGAACAUGGUUUAAGCAAUUAGACCCUCUGUUCGAGAGCGUACCUUGAACAUACAUGCUGU
rnacentral:rRNA from 1 species